rnacentral:tRNA from 1 species
GGUUGUGUAGUGUAAUGGCUAGCACUCGAGAUUCUGAGCUUCGGAACAUUCUCGCAAUCCCGGUUCGAUCCCGGGCACGACCU